GCGCAGCAGGCGCGAACCCUCCGCAAUGCGCGACAGCGUGACGGGGUCAUCCCGAGUGCCGCCCGCUGAGGACGGCUUUUCCCCAGUGUAAGGAACUGGGGGAAUAAGGGGAGGGCAAGUCUGGUGUCAGCCGCCGCGGUAAUACCAGCUCCCCGAGUGGUGGGGAUGAUUACUGGGCCUAAAGCGUCCGUAGCCGGCUUGGCAAGUCUUCCGUUAAAUUCGAUGAUUUAAUCGUCGGACUGCGGGAGAUACUACCAAUCUAGGGGGCGGGAGAGGCCGGCGGUAGUCCCGGGGUAGGGGUGAAAUCCUAUAAUCCCGGGAGGAGCACCAGUGGCGAAGGCGGCCGGCCAGAACGCGCCAGACGGUGAGGGACGAAAGCUUGGGGAGCGAACCGGAUUAGAUACCCCUGGAGUCC
rnacentral:rRNA from 1 species